rnacentral:rRNA from 1 species
AGACACGCUGGCGGCGUGCUUAAUACAUGCAAGUCAACUUGACUUUAGAUAGCAAUAUCGAAAAGUAGGGUGGCGCACGGGUGCGUAACGCGUAGGUAAUCUGCCCUGAGGUCUGACAUAACCCGUCGAAAGGCGGGCUAACAUCAGAUGAUAUAUAAUCACGACAUCGUGGAAAUAUCAAAUCUUCGGAGCCUUGGGAUGAGCCUGCGUCUGAUUAGGUAGUUGGCGGAGUAAUAGCCCACCAAGCCUACGAUCAGUAGCUGGUCUGAGAGGAUGACCAGCCACACUGGAACUGAGACACGGUCCAGACUCCUACGGGAGGCAGCAGUAAGGAAUAUUGCUCAAUGGGGGAAACCCUGAAGCAGCAACGCCGCGUGAAGGAUGAAAUACUUUUGUAUGUAAACUUCUGUAAGAUGGGAAAAAUAUUCUCCUCGGGAGAAUUGAUUGUACCAUCAGAGUAAGCCCCGGCUAACUACGUG